UGGGGAAUAUUGCACAAUGGAGGGAACUCUGAUGCAGCGACGCCGCGUGAACGAAGAAGGCUUUCGAGUCGUACAGUUCUUUUAUAUGGGAAGAUAAUGACGGUACCAUAAGAAAAAGCCCCGGCUAACUACGUGCCAGCAGCCGCGGUAAUACGUAGGGGGCUAGCGUUGUCCGGAAUCACUGGGCGUAAAGGGUUCGCAGGCGGAAAUGCAAGUCAGGUGUAAAAGGCAGUAGCUUAACUACUGUAAGCAUUUGAAACUGCAUAUCUUGAGAAGAGUAGAGGUAAGUGGAAUUUUUAGUGUAGCGGUGAAAUGCGUAGAUAUUAAAAAGAAUACCGGUGGCGAAGGCGGCUUACUGGGCUCAUUCUGACGCUGAGGAACGAAAGCGUGGGUAGCAAACAGG
rnacentral:rRNA from 1 species